rnacentral:rRNA from 1 species
GAUGAACGCUGGCGGCGUGCUUAACACAUGCAAGUCGAACGAAGCACUUCAUAAAGUUUACUUUAAGAAGUGACUUAGUGGCGGACGGGUGAGUAACGCGUGGGUAACCUGCCUUACACAGGGGGAUAACAGUUAGAAAUGACUGCUAAUACCGCAUAAAACAGCAGAGUCGCAUGACUCAACUGUCAAAGAUUUAUCGGUGUAAGAUGGACCCGCGUCUGAUUAGCUGGUUGGUGGGGUAACGGCCUACCAAGGCGACGAUCAGUAGCCGGCCUGAGAGGGUGAACGGCCACAUUGGGACUGAGACACGGCCCAAACUCCUACGGGAGGCAGCAGUGGGGAAUAUUGGACAAUGGGCGAAAGCCUGAUCCAGCGACGCCGCGUGAGCGAUGAAGUAUUUCGGUAUGUAAAGCUCUAUCAGCAGGGAAGAAA